rnacentral:rRNA from 1 species
GAGUUUGAUCUUGGCUCAGGACGAACGCUGGCGGCAUGCCUAACACAUGCAAGUCGAACGGAGAUACGAGAGCUUGCUUUUGUAUCUUAGUGGCGGACGGGCGAGUAACGCGUGAGCAACCUGCCCUUCAGUGGGGAACAACGUCUGGAAACGGGCGCUAAUACCGCAUAACGUAUCGAGAUCACAUGGUUUUUGAUACCAAAGGAGCAAUUCGCUGAAGGAUGGGCUCGCGUCCGAUUAGCUAGUUGGUAGGGUAACGGCCUACCAAGGCGACGAUCGGUAGCCGAACUGAGAGGUUGAUCGGCCGCAUUGGGACUGAGACACGGCCCAGACUCCUACGGGAGGCAGCAGUGGGGGAUAUUGGUCAAUGGGGGAAACCCUGAACCAGCAAUGCCGCGUGAGGGAAGAAGGUCUUCGGAUUGUAAACCUAAGUAGU